ensembl:lncRNA
CUCAUUUCUAAAGUGGGGUGCAGAUAAUAAAAAGUGAAGAGCAGUAUGUAAAAUCUUGGUUAGGUAUAAUGCAAGUAUAUGUGUGUAUAAGAAAAAGCCCACAUCAUGUACUAAAAUGGUACAAAUAAUAUUACAUAUCAAGCAUGUUUUAAUAACAGUUACAUAAGUCAGUCAUCACAAUUAACUCAAGCAUAACGCACUGGUCAAAAGUGAGGUUUAAACUUUCCUAAUUGUCAAGGACACUCACUCUCUAUUAGCUAGAUUGGAAUUAGUGAUUUCCAAUCAGAGGUGGAAGAGAAGGCAAUGGCACCCCACUCCAGUACUCUUGCCUGGAAAAUCCCAUAAAUGAAAGAGCCUGGAAGGCUGCAGUCCAUGAUGUCACUGAGAGUCGGACAUGACUGAGUGACUUCACUUUCACUUUUCACUUUCAUGCAUUGGAGAAGGAAAUGGCAACCCCUCCAGUUGUUCUUGCUUGGAGAAUCCCAUGGACAGAGGAGCCUGGUGGGCUGCAGUCCAUGCAGACACAAAAGAGCUGGACACAACUGAUUGACUAAGCAAUAAUAUCAAUGAAAAUAAUGUUUCUUAAAUACUCUGAUUAGAGAAUAAGCUUCUAUUUAUUGAUUUCUGUAUUCACAUACAUGUAUACAUCCCUGGUAAGUGCUAGGCAUAUUGCAGGGAUAAAUAAAUUAUAGCAUCUCAGUCUGCUAGAAAAAAAAAGAUGAAAAUGACUACUACUUAAUUUACAUAGUGAGUUUUCCAAUUUUAAUAAAUGAAGAGUAGAUAAAUGUGUUUUAUUCAAAACCAAUCCUAUUUUAUUCUUAACGAGUUAAGGCUUUCUCAAAUAUAUACUUCCAAUUUGAAAAUAAGUAAAAAAUAAAACUAUGAAUGCUUCUUCAUGCCUAAUUAGAUCAGUAGUCUUAUAUGACUUGAGUUUGAUAGUUGCUAUACAAUUCUUAGGGCUUCCCUGUUGGCUCAGGUGGUGAAGAAACUGUCUGCAAUGUGGGAAACCCAGGUUUGAUCCCUGGUUUGGGAAGAUCCUCUGGAGAAGGCAAUAACUACCCAUUCCAGUAUUCUUGCCUGGAGAAUUCCACAGACAGAAGAGCCUGGCAGACUAUAGUCCAUUCUACUCUGCUUGCUUUAUUUAUUUAUAUGUGCUCAAGCCUUUCAGCACACUACUUGAAAUGAUUUAAUCAUUAACUUGAAAAUUUCUGCCAACUUUUUCUAGGUUGAAGAACCUUAUGAGUGGAGAAAGAUUUGUUUAUUUACUAUUUCAGAUGAAAGUGAAAGUGAAAGUUACUCAAUCAUGUCUGACUCUUUGCAACCCAAGGGACUAUACAGUCCGUGGAAUUCUCCAGGCCAGAAUAAUGGAGUGGAUAGCCUUUCCUGUCUCCAGGGGAUCUUCCCAACCCAGGAUUGAACCCAGGUCUCCUGUAUUUCAGGUGGAUUCUUUACCAGCUGAGCCGCAAGGGACUAUUUCAGAUAUGAUCCCUUUAACAGAAAUUCAGUGCUACUUGAAUUCUUUUCUUAAGGCUAUUAGUAUCUUUUUUUUCUCCCCAAAAUCUUGCCUUUAUACCCAAAAAUUUCAUCCUGUCUUAAACUUCCUUUUUAUUGGAAUUAAUCAUGGAAUUGCUCCCAGGUACAGAUUUUGCUUAAAUCUCCAGCUCAGACUGAAUCCUGACAAUUUGUUUAGUGCAUAUUACACAAUCCAGGAGCCCUUGUGACAGCAAUACAAAGUGCUGUGUUUAAAUACUGUGGCAACAUAGAUCAGUAUUUUCUUGGUUGAUUAAUUAGUGAUGAAAAAUUUUAAACCAACUAUAUAUAGGUUUCUUGUAAUAUAUUUAAUAUUUAACUUAAGAUAUAGUUAAGCUCCAAAACUUAAUAUGUUUCUUUUCUCUCUCUCUCACUUUUUUUAAAAAUCU